rnacentral:tRNA from 1 species
AAUAUUUUAUUUUAAAAAGAAUUUUUUUUUUUGAUGAAAAAGGUAAAAAUAUUU